rnacentral:misc_RNA from 1 species
UAUUUUAUGGUAGUAUAUAUUGAAUUUGAUUAACUAAACGAAGAAGUGGAAAAGUGAAUAUUAUUUGAAUUUAAGAGAAUAAAAUUUAUGGUGCAUUUAUAUUAUUUGAUUGCAUUAGUGAAAAGAAGUUAUCCAUUGCAUGAACAUAUACAAUAAUUUUGAUUAUGACCUAUAAAUUGUAUUAAAUUAUUCUUUUGGUGUGUUUUAUUUGUAAUAUAAUCGAUUAAUCACUAUUACAAUUACUGAUGAAAUGUGCAUUACAUGUCCAAGUAUCCAUUAUAUUCAUGACAUUUUGAAUAGAAAACUGAAAUAAUCUAAUUAGAAUGAUGAUUCAAUGAUGAUUACCCUUCAGCUAGGAUUAUUAUGUACCAAACAUGUCAGUGUAUUGCACCAAACUUUUUAAUUUCUUUUGGUUUUGCUAUUUUUUAUGCAAAUUCUACCAAAUCGGUUGUUAAUUCCAUUUGGUCGUUGGUUUUAGGUUGUUAAAUUUCUUUAAACCCUAUUUAUGGCUUUAUUAUUCUCAAUAAUACAAAAAAAAAAAUAAUUGUUUUCUUUCUCUCUCUUUUUUUUAUGCAGUAUUUGAUUACACAUUUCAGUGACUUUCAGCUGGCGUGC